rnacentral:rRNA from 1 species
UGCAGUCGUGCGAGAAAGUAUCUUCGGAUAUGAGUAGAGCGGCGGACGGGUGAGUAACGCGUAGGAAUCUACCUAGUAGAAGGGGAUAGCCCGGGGAAACCCGGAUUAAUACCGUAUACCUCCUUCGGGAGAAAGAAGGCCUCUCUUUGAAGCUUUCGCUACUAGAUGAGCCUGCGUAAGAUUAGCUUGUUGGUGAGGUAAAGGCUCACCAAGGCUACGAUCUUUAGCUGGUCUGAGAGGACGAUCAGCCACAUUGGGACUGAGACGCGGCCCAGACUCCUACGGGAGGCAGCAGUGGGGAAUAUUGGACAAUGGGCGCAAGCCUGAUCCAGCCAUACCGCGUGUGUGAAGAAGGCCUUCGGGUUGUAAAGCACUUUAAGCAGGGAGAAAAAGUUAUAAGUUAAUACCUUAUAACCCUGAUGUUACCUGCAGAAUAAGCACCGGCUAAUUCCGUGCCAGCAGCCGCGGUAAUACGGAAGGUGCAAGCGUUAAUCGGAAUUACUGGGCGUAAAGCGCGCGUAGGUGGUUUGUUAAGUUGGAUGUGAAAGCCCUGGGCUCAACCUAGGAACUGCAUCCAAAACUAACUCACUAGAGUACGAUAGAGGGAGGUAGAAUUCAUAGUGUAGCGGUGGAAUGCGUAGAUAUUAUGAAGAAUACCAGUGGCGAAGGCGGCCUCCUGGAUCUGUACUGACACUGAGGUGCGAAAGCGUGGGUAGCGAACAGGAUUAGAUACCCUGGUAGUC